rnacentral:lncRNA from 1 species
CGUGUCUUUUUCAGGAAAAAAAACAAUGGUACAGUGGGAUGUUAAAGAAACCGUGGAAACCAACAGAAAGUCCUCAAACUGAUCAGGACAAUAAAGCAGACAGUGGUUCUGAAGACGUAGAAGAAGAGGAGAAAACAUCAGAGACGUCUCAUGUAAGUUUUCUUAUCGUGACUUUAGCAUGUGAGGAAAUUCUCUUGCACAAGAGAAAUUGCACAAGAGAUAAGAGGCCGAGGGAGGCUUAAUGUACAGUAAGAAAAGCUGCCAUGGAGUUUGGAAGCUCUAAUUUUGUACAUGUGUUUAGAUCCUGUUUGUAGGCAACAAUCUUAAUUCUCUUGUGUUUGUGGAAAGAUGGAGAUGUGUGGUCGUCAUCAUGUUUUAUCUUAUCUAUCUCAGGAAAAGGGAGGCUUCUUGUCUGGUUUCCUUAAAAAGCCGAAAAAAACAGCCGAUGAGACACCAACACAUAAUUUAAAUUGUUAAAGUAAUAGUUUUACUUUUAGGAAAACUUAUUCGCAGGAGAAAUGCAUGGACAGAAAUAUUCAUUUUAGUUUAUUAUCGGUAUUUUUUUUUUUCCCUCUUAAAUGACUUUGGUGUUUCAGGAGAAUCUGAGUGCCCACAGUGAGCUUUCUGCCAGCAGCGACAGCCUGUCUGAAAACAAGGUGAGGUCCAGUAGCUGCUGUAGUGGCAGCAGAGAUAACGUCACGUGGAAUUAUAUACACACAGAGAUCUGUGAUAACUAGACUAAGUGAGCACGAGCGUACUGUUCCUGUGUGUUUCAGGAAAAAAAACGUUGGUACGCUAGGAUGUUAAAGAAGUCGCCGAAACAAGCCAAAGCUCAAAGUGAUCAGGUAGAAAAUCUGAUAAAAUGAUGUUUUCAUAACUACUCAAGUAAAGCCAAAAGGUCACAUCGAUUAAUACCUUUAUUGCCCAACAAAUCAAAAUUAGCAAAAUUAGCCCAUUUACUUUGUUUCAGGACCAGCAGUGCCUGCAUGGUGAUUUACCCAACUCUAAUGAUGAUCUGACUGAAGCCCAGUCAAAGGUGAGGAUAACUUAAUAUUAUCUUUAUGUAAUUCCAAUUAAUUGUUAUGAUGUCACCAGGAAUAGGGUUUUAUUUUUUUAUGAGUGGAAUCAUCUGCAGAAAUCCUAAAACUCCUGGAGAAGGGACGGCCCAGGCAGGGGAUGUGUGAAUCGCUGAAAUUAUUCAACCACAGGCUCUCCAUAUGCUGUGUUGUGCUUAGUUUAUAUAACUAAAGUCUUUAAAUACCUAGUGUGCAUUUGGGGAGGCCACCCAGACACAUUUGCAGACUCAUUUUUAUAUUUUUUUUUUAGUCUGUCUUACAAAAUUAAAAAAUGCAGAACAGUCCUCCAUCUCUAAUUUUAAAAGUUCAGUCCAACCUAUCCCAUCUCAUAUGUUUCCCGCUAGUUUCUACAAAUGUCAUUCAGCUUCUUCUCCAAAGAGGAUCUCAUUCUACCAUUAAAUAGACUCCAAUUCGACCAUCUUGGGCAUGCAUCAUGUCCUCAUCCUGCUCUGGAUGUCUGCUGAGAGCUGCAGGGCUCCUGCAGUCCAAGUUGGUGGAUUUGGAGUUCAUCCACAUGACAUGAGACUCACUGGAGAGGCAGCAGAAUUACAUCAUUCAGCUACAUCAUGAAAUACACAACAGUUAAAAUAUUUGCAGAGGAGAAACGUAAAAAUGGCUUUUUAAAAAUAUUUUUCAAACUCAGUGUUUUGCAGCGGUCAAAUACAUUCAUGCAUACACAUUCAGAAGCCAUUUGAAUGUUUUUGCACCUUUGGUAGAUACGUGCACACACACAAACAUCUUGCAUUUUACAUCCAUGAGAAACACAUGAACUACUGUAAAUAUUGGCCUAUGCUAUAGGAAACUAAGGUAGGGUUCAUGUAGUGGAAAGGGAGAACAUGGGGAAAAUUGAGUUCAUAGUGUAUGUGUUAAGAUAAAUUAAAGGAGUAAAGUGCACAGUAAUGGAGGCAAAAGUGACAAUAAAAAGUCAACAGUCAGAUGACACUAAGGUUUGUCUGACUGAAACUCUGAACAAUUUGAACAAUUUUCCAAAGAAACCUGGAGGCAUUUUGACAUAACUCUAAGUGUUGUAACAACAAGAAUAACAUUCGAAACAGAACAACGCUGUGUUGUUUUGCUUAUCUGAGAUAAUCGUGUAAAUAAAAACUGUAUUUGCUUUACUUGUGCUGAAAAGUAGCACGAACAGUAGGCGUGCCAUUAGUACCUCUUACAUUUUAGUCAAACAUGUGUUUGUAUUUUUUACAGUGUGUGACGUUUGCAUUUCAGGAUAAAGAGUCACUGCAGACCGAGGCAUCGGCCAGCGACGAGAGCACAAAAGUAAGAGUUUUUAACAAACUUUGGAGGACUUUGUGUUAUUAUAAUAUUCAUAUCUGAAGCCAGAAAUCUCAGGGUGAUUGAACCAGACGCUGCUAACUGACUGAUGAAAACAGCACCUGGUGGUGAAAUCCUUUUGCCACUGUGUAUCAGGAGAAAGGAGGUGGAGCCUAGCAGACAGCUACAAGCUAUAGCUGCCAAGGUUGGCACCUACCUCUAAUCAAAGCAGACACACACCCAAUAAUGCAAACUUGAAGCUUAAAUCAUUUUUAAACAAGGGGGUUGUGAAAGAUUUCACACUGGGACAGUUGAGGAGCUCAUCCUGUGGUCAGGCUCGACCAUUUUGGACAACGGUAGUCUUUUUUUCUGCUCUGGAAAACUGCUGCAAAGUGGAGGGCCUCUCUAACCAGCUCAAGGACCAGCACCAGCUGUGAUCCAAGACGAUGGAGCUGGAGUUUGUUACAAGGAUGAGAGAUUCACAGGCUAGCAGGAGGUUAUAUUGGAGUUGCAAAGAGAAAUUUAUGAAUGUUAGUGAUUCUUUAAAGAUGUCCCACAUUUAGAGUCUAAAUUGGAAACAAUGUAAAUUAAAGUGGAGCUUAUAUUAUUACCAAAGAAUAUAAAUUCAGGCACCAGUGUAGCUCACUGGUUGAGCAAGUGCAUAUGCCUGAUGGCUUUCCUGACUACUCUACACUGCUCAACUUUCAAAAAAAGCAAAAAGUCCCAAAAUAAAUAUUUACAAAAGAAUAUAAAAUGCAGUGCACAGGAAUUAAAAAUGGGAUCGUGUGAGUGUGCUCCAAGGUAAAUUAAAGGAUUUGAGUGCAAGCAAAGUGAAGGUAAUGGUGGGAAAGUGAUAAAUGAGAACAAUCACUAUCUAAACAUCAACACCUAGAUAGGGAGGUGUUUUCUUAAGUUGCGGUGCAUUUGACCUCCAUAUACAGGCUUUACACGUAAAGAAUUAGUGCCUUGCAUUAUAAAUAUACUGUUGGGUAAAUGUAUCAGAGAAAGCAACACAGAAAUGGGAAAGAAAUGUAUAUUAUUUUCAGAGACAAGCAGAACUUAAAAAGUAGAAAUGUACAGGAAACAUUCAAUUUCUCUCUCACUUUUCAUAUUCGGUCAUAGAGAAUAAUACCUCUCUGGUGAUGUAUAUGCAUAUUUUGGUUCAUGUUUUGUCACUGCCAUGGUAUCGUCUACAAUUUCCUGAAGUGCUUUGCUUUGGUCUUUAAGUUCUGAUGAAUUGGUUAAGCAUCACCAUGUUUGUUAGUUUGUUACCAUUGUAAAAAUAUCUUGGCAAUCAGACACUGCCUUCCAUCUGCCCUCUUCUGCUCAUCUGCUUCACAGUUGUAAGGGGCGUAAGCCUAUCCCGGUGGUCACAGGGUGAAUGGAAAUGUACAGCAUACACAAGUCGCCAGUCUGUCACCGGGCCGACACAUAGAGUUGAUUAUUUGGUCUAACUCUUAUACAUAUCUCCGAUUACUAAUUAACCUAAAACCAUGAAUGUCUUUGGAAGCCACACAGCCUAAAUCUGAACCCAGGAUCUUUUUGUUUUGAGGGGGUGCUAACCACCACACCGACACCCAUGAGCAUGCUACAUGAAGUGAUCCGUGUGGUUUUGCUUAUCCGAAAUGCAAAUAAACACCAUAUUUACUUGUACUUUUGUGCUGCAAAACAGCAAAAACAAGUUUCCUGUAGUGCUUGCAUUUUAGCUUCAUGUAAUGAUUAAAAAUUCAUACACGCUCUCACCAUUUAGCAGUUCUUAGUUGCCAUUUUUGCAGCAGCAUCAGUGCACAGGUUUUUCACCCCCAGUCCGUACUUGGUGACAGCGUGGGUCGUUUGUCUUUCAGGAUAAAGAAUCACUGCAAACGGAGGCAUCAGCUAGCGAUGACAACAGCAGCACAAAAGUAAGAGAAAGAGUUUUUCCGUUCUUUCUUUUACUUCCGUGUGAUUGAACAGUGAUGACAAAUGAAUUAUACAAACCACCACACCACAAAGUUCUCUUUUUCUCCUUCUGUCAGGAGAAAGGAGGCGUUUUCAGAUCAAUGUUUAGGAAAUCUCCCAAACUGUCUGAAGGUCCCCGACUCGAGGAGGUAAUCAUUUCUUUUGAUCUAUAUUUCAGAGCAUAUGUUGUGUAUAAAAGAUAGAGGAAAAUAUGGACAAAGUCACAGUGAUGCCCAAAGUUCUUGAAAGGACUGUUAGUUCAGUUAAGAAAUAAAUAAUAUUGGCCAGAUAUUGUAAAUGCUUCAGAAAACAUGAGCAGUUCUAACAGGCUGAGUGAUCCAGUGUAGUGACUCAGAUUAUUGGAGGUGAAGCAAGGCUGUAGCCACUCGUUUCGACGAUCACCUGUUAUUCAAAAAUGCAAACUUCAGGAAGAUAAUACAUUUAAAAAAACAUCUAACAGGUGAGUUGUAAAGUACAGUUAUAACUGGAGAAACUGCUUUAGCAGACUGGCAUUUUCAUAGUUUCCUUGUCGUACUUACCACUCAAGAAACCAAAACAAUGUCAAAGGUCAAAUCUGUAACAUACAGUAUAAUGUCACAUGUAAGUGGUUUAACAUGGUAGUCUCACUUUUGAAGACUGCCUCAAAUGGUCAUUAGAGGAACUGCAGUUUUGGGCACCUCUGCAUUUUGGUUCAUAGUUAGUUUCUCAUGUCAUAAUUCAGGUCCUAACUAAGUUAUGGUUGCUAUGGAGA